UACAGAGGUCUCAACCGUUGUUCGGAUUCAUUGGGCGUAAAGGGUGCGUAGGCGGUCGGGUAAGUCGGAUGUGAAAUCCCAGGGCUCAACCCUGGAACUGCAUUCGAUACUGCCUGGCUAGGGUACUGGAGAGGAGACUGGAAUUUACGGUGUAGCAGUGAAAUGCGUAGAUAUCGUAAGGAAGACCAGUGGCGAAGGCGAGUCUCUGGACAGCAACUGACGCUGAGGCACGAAGGCCAGGGGAGCAAACGGG
rnacentral:rRNA from 1 species